rnacentral:rRNA from 1 species
UACGGGGGGGGCAAGCGUUGUUCGGAAUUACUGGGCGUAAAGGGCUCGUAGGCGGCCAACUAAGUCAGACGUGAAAUCCCUCGGCUUAACCGGGGAACUGCGUCUGAUACUGGAUGGCUUGGAGUUUGGGAGAGGGAUGCGGAAUUCCAGGUGUAGCGGUGAAAUGCGUAGAUAUCUGGAGGAACACCGGUGGCGAAGGCGGCAUCCUGGACCAACACUGACGCUGAGUGAGCGAAAGCCAGGGGAGCAAAACGGG